rnacentral:rRNA from 1 species
UACGUAGGUGGCAAGCGUUGUCCGGAAUUAUUGGGCGUAAAGCGCGCGCAGGCGGUCAAUUAAGUCUGAUGUGAAAGCCCCCGGCUCAACCGGGGAGGGUCAUUGGAAACUGGUUGACUUGAGUACAGGAGAGAAGAGUGGAAUUCCACGUGUAGCGGUGAAAUGCGUAGAGAUGUGGAGGAACACCAGUGGCGAAGGCGACUCUUUGGCCUGAAACUGACGCUGAGGCGCGAAAGCGUGGGGAGCAAACGGG